rnacentral:rRNA from 1 species
UACGAAGGGGGGCUAGCGUUGCUCGGAAUCACUGGGUGUAAAGCGCACGUAGGCGGAUUGUUAAGUCAGAGGUGAAAUCCUGGAGCUCAACUCCAGAACUGCCUUUGAUACUGGCGAUCUCGAGUCCGGGAGAGGUGAGUGGAACUGCGAGUGUAGAGGUGAAAUUUCGUAGAUAUUCGCAAGAACACCAGUGGCGAAGGCGGCUCACUGGCCCGGUACUGACGCUGAGGUGCGAAAAGCGUGGGGAGCAAACAGG